rnacentral:piRNA from 1 species
UGUCAGCACUCAUGCAAUAUUGUAUGGCUA